rfam:Microbacterium sp. No. 7, complete genome.
GGACGACCCCUGGCUGUGACUCCCAGCCGCACGCCCUGACGCACUUCCCCGGCGCCAGGUCGGAGCGGAUGGGGAUCAGGGCCCGGGGUCGCGGCCCC